rnacentral:rRNA from 1 species
UGCCAGCCGCCGCGGUAAUACGUAGGGCGCAAGCGUUGUCCGGAAUUAUUGGGCGUAAAGAGCUCGUAGGCGGUUUGUCGCGUCUGCUGUGAAAGUCCGAGGCUCAACCUCGGAUCUGCAGUGGGUACGGGCAGACUAGAGUGUGGUAGGGGAGACUGGAAUUCCUGGUGUAGCGGUGGAAUGCGCAGAUAUCAGGAGGAACACCAAUGGCGAAGGCAGGUCUCUGGGCCACAACUGACGCUGAGGAGCGAAAGCGUGGGUAGCAAACAGGAUUAGAUA